CCUGCCCGGCCUCCAACAUGUCUAUGCUUUCUAAUGUGCCACUGCGGUUGUCUGCAAGCCGCAGUGGAUUGUGGGUAAAUCGCCACCCCGCUAUAUUUGUCCUCCACCGGCUGCUGGAGUUUGCCGUCAUGAGAGGAAUUGGUUUCUUCAACAAGCUCUCUAAACGGGGCUAUGCUGCUGCCAGACGAAGUGAACCCUUGACUCAACCCUUGGAUGCUACCUGCAAGCCCUCCCCUUCACCACCGCUCCCUCCUCAACAUGUCCAGGUGUCCAAGCUCCCAAAUGGUCUGGUGAUAGUGUCCUUGGAGAACUACUCGCCCAUGUCCACUGUGGGGGUGUUUGUGAAAGCAGGGAGUCGCUAUGAGACCGUGGAAAACCAGGGUGUGUCUCAUGUGCUGCGGCUGGCUGCAAACCUGACUACUAAAGGUGGUUCUGCCUUCAAGAUCUGCCGCAGUGUGGAAGCUCUGGGAGGCAGUCUGAAUGUAACAUCAUCCAGGGAAGCUAUGGCCUACACUACAGACUGCUUAAGAGAUCACCUAGAUCAAAUAUUUGAGCAUUUGGUCAACGUGACCACGGCUCAGGAGUUCAGGCCUUGGGAAGUGGAGGACCUGACAUCCAGGGUGAAGAUUGACAGAGCUUUGGCUCAGCAGUCUCCUCAAAUAGGUUUGCUAGAGAAGUUGCAUGAAGUGGCGUACAAAAACGCCCUGUCCAACUCUUUGUACUGCCCCGACUACAUGAUUGGCCGUGUUUCUCCGGAACAACUGCGGUUAUUUGUCGAAGACCAUUUCACUUCUAGCAGGAUGGCUCUUGUCGGACUUGGUGUAACGCACUCUGUAAUGCGGCAACUGGGUGAGGGGCUCAUGAGUGUCCGCAGUGGGGCUGGAGCUCCUGAGACUACGGCAGUUUACCGUGGAGGGGAGCUUCGUAUGCAGAACAAUGACUCCCUGGUUCACGCGCUGGUUGUCAGCCAAGGUGGCGUGAUGGCCAGCGCAGAGGCGAACGCAUUUGUGGUGCUGCAAAGGAUCCUGGGAGCUGGGCCUUAUGUAAAGCGAGGUGGCAACGUUACCAGCAAGCUGAGUCGGGGUAUUGCUGAAGCAACCACACAGCCUUUUGAUGCCUCAACCUUCAAUACUUCAUACUCUGACUCCGGUCUGUUUGGGAUCUACACCAUCUCACAAGCUAAUGCUGCCGGAGACGUGAUCAAAGCUGCUCUUGCGCAAAUAAAAGGUGUGGCUGAGGGCAACGUGUCUGCAGCGGACAUCACCAGGGCAAAGACUCAGGCUAAAUGUGAAUAUCUGAUGUCAAUUGAGAGUUCUGCUUGUCUGAUGGAGGAGAUGGGUGUUCAAGCUCUGACAACCGCAGCGUACCAGCAUCCUGAGGCGCUUCUCCAGGCUGUUGACGCCAUCACCCAGGAGGAUGUGGUCAAGGCUGCAAAGAAAUUUGUGCAGGGUAAGAAGACCAUGGCCGCUAGUGGACAUCUCAUUAAUACACCUUUUGUGGAGGAGUUAUGAAAUGCCAACUAAAGCAGCAAUAAUCAUUUGAUGUGGGUAUACGCAACAAAGAAACAUCAAGGACCUUGAAGCCACAGGUUCAUGGGAACUAGAACAUACACAGUACCACUUAAACAUGUUACGCUUUCCAAGUACAGUGUCCACGCUUUUGCUACAUCUACUGACCGUCACAGACGAGCAUGAAGUACAGUACGUGGCUUGCACUUGCAGGUAAUAAUGAUGAAGUCUUCUAUAUGUACAUUCUGAAAAGGAGGGGCAUGGUGGCCUCACAAAGUCCACACAAACACGCUCAACACUCAAAAGUAUGGAUGGGUGCUAUAUCAUCCAAAAAGGUGUUCAAAGAUUCGGGUGAAACCCUUAGAGUGCACAAGCAACAAAGUGAAUGAACCCCACACAGCGGUGUCACUUACCAGGUGUCAGGCUGAAACAGCAGCUGCAAGAGAGGAAAAAAAGUAACCUGGUUAACACAUCAGACUAGAUCUGUACUAGUGGUGCAGAACAGUGAUUCUCAAAACUGCUACAAAUCACUUGAUUAAAGUUUUAUUUUCAAACACAGUGUUACUGUUCAAACUCAAAAAUUAUACAUAUACUCGCUAAAUAAAACCCGCCUUGUUUUGAAUGA